CAGAUACUAUCCCACAGACCUUCUCUUGGGACAGGGGGGGUAAGGCAGUACCUGCCGGUUUAAGCCAUGAGGUCCUUUCCGAAAAUACAUGCAAGUGUUCUCCUAAAUGCUGUGAAACCGGCCUGAGCCUGUGAAGAUUUGGGAUUGUGCACAAACCAGCCUGUCUUGAUGGAGCCAAGGAGAUCUGUAUACAUUCUGCUUGCAGGGUUUCAGGUGCGAGAAUCUCAUCUUCAGUCUGCAGACCAACUCCAUGCAAAAAGAAUAUGGCUUAUUAGAUGGUGGUGGUAUCCAUUCAGUGAUAUGUCAUGAAGCAGCAAAUGCCAAAGCAUCUGUAUACUUGUAUAUGGACAGAAGCAGUUCUUUUGCAAUAGCCAUCAGCUGAAAGGAGGAACCAGCCCAGUCCCAGGAAAUACAGACAAAAAUGCACACAAGUCUCUGGCAGCAAUACCUGAGAAAGCUUUAUAGUGAAAAAGCAUUUGUGUUUCUUGCUGAAAACAAAACAGCUGGGGAAAAAAAAAAAAUCAGCCAAAGAUGCUUCUUCUGAGGAACUCUGUGCAAUUUGCUUCACAAUUAGACACUUGAAAGGCACCUAACAGGGUUGUCUGGAGCCCAUUUAAGAGAAGGACAGGGGGCUGCCUAUUCUGUCCAUGGCUGAGGAGGGAACUGGGGCUCUAUCAUGGGUGAUUUGCAAACAUCCAAAAGAGAGCCUUCAUUGUACUCGGGGGGGGCUGGAGGCCCAGUUAGUAUUUGGUGUGGUGCUGUGUCACCCAGAAUAUAUUCUUUCUAGAGAGCCGUGCCUGGUACCUGCAUUGUUUUCCUCAUUCAUUAUAUACUGGGCAUGCAUUAGUGACAGCACCAUAGGAAAUUGUAUUCAUCAUGCUAAAUUGCAUAUAUCUACCUGUCAGAAGCCUGCAUGUUACCCCAGUAAGGGCCAAGGCUUAACUGCUUCUUAGUAGUCUGGUGCAGAAGUGCACAUUACACAACUACCCUGUGUUCAAAUGAACCAAUACCUCAGACAGUAGCUGGUGCAAACCAGGAUGGCAGCUGUCUGUGGAUAUAAUCACAACUGAAUACAUACUGCCAGGGCUUCUGUGUCCUGGUUGCACAGCUAGGGGCAGAGCACUCAACUAUUUCUAAAGCUAGAUAUGCAAAUGCCUCUGGAAUGGAGCCUUUUACAGUUCUGCUCUCAUUAACCUGAUUUGCAUAUGUAAAUGACCUCUUGCCACAUGAUAAUGAGGUCUGCUCAUACAGAGAUGUUCAGCAUAUAAGGAGAGGGUUUUCAGUGACAAUCAGAGCAUUUUGGCCAAAGCAGCUGGUACAAGGACAGGACCAAGAAAGAAGUAAAGGCAGGAUCCAGGGACAACAGGGCAGGGAAGCAGAAGGAAGCAAAAGAAAAUCAAACGCUGCAGAUGUCUCCUCCAAAUGCCAAGGGCAUCUGCAGUUCUAGUGCCUUACUGGAGCAAUUUCAUAGUGGAGUCUGUGAAAUGAGAGCAGCUGGAGGACACUGACAAUUGGGAAGUGACCUGUGGCGUGGAGCUCCAUGGAUGAUAGCGGAUGUCUGGCUAUCGUAGAACAGCAAGCACGUGGCCUAGCAUUCACUGGCUGGUUUAAAGCAGUCUCUUCCAGCUAUUCCUGUGAGCACCAUCACAGAGAGCUGGACACAUGGCAACGGGUCAGUCCUUCUUCAAGAGCAGUCUCCAGUUUAAUCAUUUCUCUGUGAUUACCUCUUUGCCACUGGCACACUCAUCCAGAGGUGACACUUCUCAUUUCUUAUUCCUCAUAUGCUGCUUAGCUUCUCAUCAGGGAUAUUUCAUACCUAUGCCUCACUUAGUGCAUGUGGAGGCAAGACAAAAUCCUUCCUAGGUUUUCCUCCUUGGAUACCAUGCCCCUUUUAGAGAAGAAAUGACUGCUCAUAUCCUGAGAUAUUUGUCUUCCUGCUUGCCAUGUUUAACUCUUGAUUCCUGGUCCUGCUACAGAACAUUCAGCUGCUGAGGAUUUGCUGACUCAGAGCUCUUCAAAACCUACCUGAUUGGGCACCAUCUUUAUCCAGUUCAGAAAGAGGGAAUGAUCAGUUCCACUCAGACUUGCCCAGCUGUCUCAGGUAGGAAUACAACCCUUCUUUCUUUGAAAGGAGGAAAAGGCUGUAGAAGAUGGUAGUUAAUACCUGUUACUGGGGAAAAAAAAAUAAAAUAAUUGUGGGCUAAACUCAGGAUUUGCCUGCAUAAAACCUUGUACUGGUACAUGGGAAGUGGUCGGUCUCUUUUUGUCACUGGAAAAAUAAUAGUAGCCAGUAUCAAAUAUCAAGAGCCCUAUUUAUAGCUGGUAAGCCACCAAACUGAGGUUAAAAAAAAAUGGUAGGGAUGCACAUCACAGUCAAUAAAUAAGAAUCUGUGUUGGUAUCUUUGUGAGCUAGCCAGAGUUAAGCUAAAUUAAGUUUAAAAAGUAGUGAAGACAAAGCAACUUGUGUAUUAGAUUAAUUUAGGAAGUUGAAUUCAAGCCUGUAAAGGAAAUUAGUUCAUCUCAUGACUACUUUUGGUUCACUCCCACUCAUACCAAAGGGAAGAUAAUGCAUAUGGGAGACAGAGAAACUUGACACACUUGUAUUUCUUUACCUGUCCACUGCUGACAGAGCCAUGCAGUGUGACUACAAGUAAUGGUUAACUUCAAAGCACUAAAAACUGAUUGUUGAACAUGCCCCAUCCUUUCUGCACAUCAGUAGGCAGUUCCUGGAGCAGCCACUGGCCCAAGCCCAACUCAUCUGUGUUCCACCCUUCACAAUGUGGUCAUUACAUGAAGGAAUGAUGGUGUAAUCCCUCCUCAUCAUGUCCACCAGCAUAAACAUGAGAUUCAAUUUUACUGUAGUCACGCUGUCAGUAUAGUAUUUCCCAGUCAAUAAUAUCAUCCAGGCCCAUGAUUGUCCCUUCCUAAAAAGCCUUCAGGUCUGGACCCUAAUUUUCUAAGCUUACAUCCCAAAGCCCUCUCAACACUGAGUGCUUUUAACAAAAGCAACAGUCUUGCAUAUCUAUGCUAAUAUUAAUUUGUUUGGUGGUCGUAAGGGAAGUGUUGUAAUGUGCAGAAUGACCUAGAAAUGAGUAGUGUCUGAAGAGCAUAGUCUGGGUCUGGUGGUUUAUUCAUAUAAAUAAAUCAGAAGGAUCAAGCAGAGCAUGCAGGGUCUUUUGAGUGUUUCUGUGUAGCCUGUCUGAGCAGCAAGCCCUUAACCACACACUCAAGCAACCUCUGGGAGUAUUCAGUCAAUUUGGGCAACUAACAACCUGUCCUAAAACUGAGCCUGCAAGCAUUUGCCAUUCUGAAAAGGCUGUCAGUUAACUAAGCCAAAAGGUUAUGGAAAUUCUCUCACUUGUAAGGUGCCAUCUUUAGAACACCUUUUGUUUAACUUUAUUUUUAGUUGUUUAGUAGGCAGGCAUUUUUGUAGGGGCUUUAAUCAGACAAGGGGUUUAUGAGGCUAUUCUGAGAGAAGGCAUUUAAUUAAUUCCAGACUUUUCUCUUCCUCCCUCUUUUGUUCAGCUUAGGUAUACCAUCUACAUACCUAUCUAUAACAACUGAGGUAAAAAUCCUAUGAGAUUUCUAAGAAGUUUGGUUCAUCUUUCAUUAGAUUGCAGCAGAACUGAACCAUAUCCUCUCACUGCUAGACAUUUUUUGAACUAGGUUUUUCCCAGUCUCACUGGGGUAUGUAUGUGAGCUGGAAAGCUUCACAAUGCAUUAAGAUUUCAUGAGGGCCUAAUUCUGUUUUCUCUUACACUGCCCUGAAUCUUCAGCACACAGUGCUUCCACUUCAAUGUAACAUAACUGAGAAUACAGCAAGUCUCUGAGUAGCCAAGCUCCACUGCAUGUACCAUCUAAAAAAAUGGUGUUCUAACCAUGCAACUUGUGAUUUUUAUCUUGAAGAGCUAAAAGCUUAGUGUCAUUACUUCGUUCCUAUUAGAUAAGUGUUUUGGAGACAGGAAAGACAUUUUGGCUUAUAGUAAAAACUUUUAUUCCAAAUGUGCUCUUUUCUUUAACAAAAAAAAAAAAAAACAAAACAAAACCCAACCAUGAAGAAGGCAUUUUGAGAGAUCUUAUUUUGUAUUAAAUGGUCAAUGUCCCUUCAUUAUUUUGGCAGGGCUAGGUUGCAUCUGCUGUUUCUGUAUGAAGUCAUGUAAGCAGGCACAGAAUUCUCAUCUUGUUCUGCUGUAUGUCAGGAUC